GACGAACGCUGGCGGCGUGCCUAAUACAUGCAAGUCGAGCGGACAGAAGGGAGCUUGCUCCCGGAAGUUAGCGGCGGACGGGUGAGUAACACGUGGGCAACCUACCCUGUAGAUCGGGAUAACAUCGAGAAAUCGGUGCUAAUACCGGAUAAUCAUUUGAAGUGCAUGCUUCGAAUGUAAAAGAUGGUUCCGGCUAUCACUACGGGAUGGGCCCGCGGCGCAUUAGCUAGUUGGUAAGGUAAUGGCUUACCAAGGCAAAGAUGCGUAGCCGACCUGAGUGGGUGAUCGGCCACACGGGGACUGAGACACGGCCCAGACUCCUACGGGAGGCAGCAGUAGGGAAUCUUCCGCAAUGGACGAAAGUCUGCCGGAGACACGCCGCGUGAGUGAUGAAGGUUUUCGGAUCGUAAAGCUCUGUUGUUAAGGAAGAACAAGUGCCGUUUGAAUAAGGCGGCACCUUGACGGUACCUAACCAGAAAGCCACGGCCAACUACGUGCCAGCCGCCGCCGUAACAC
rnacentral:rRNA from 1 species